rnacentral:rRNA from 1 species
UACAGAGGGUGCGAGCGUUGUCCGGAAUCACUGGGCGUAAAGGGUGCGUAGGCGGCGCGGUAAGUCGGGUGUGAAAUCUCGGAGCUUAACUCCGAAACUGCAUUCGAUACUGCCGUGCUUGAGGACUGGAGAGGAGACUGGAAUUUACGGUGUAGCGGUGAAAUGCGUAGAUAUCGUAAGGAAGACCAGUGGCGAAGGCGGGUCUCUGGACAGUUCCUGACGCUGAGGCACGAAGGUCAGGGGAGCAAACGGG